CGCGGCGUGAAUUUGAACAAUAACUGACUUUUGUUACCGAGGAACGCCGAAGGAAAAUGUGCUUCUUCAAAUUCAAAUGUGUAUCCCCCCUCCCGGGCUGCUGAUGUUGCUGCUGCUACAGCCAGUGCCCUUAGUCGCCCGUAGGAGUGAACGGGAGCACACGAACCGGCUCUGCAAGUGGAAGCAGCUACCGGGGGAGUACAGGAAGGAACACUGAAUAAGUGAUAAGCUGUCCGGGCGUUUCGAGUUUCGGCAUGAGAAAACUUGAAACCAAAACUACACGACGAUGACGAUUCUGAAAUUAUUCAUUAGACUUAUCAUAGAGUUUGACAAUCGUUGAAGCAACUGAUGCGUUUAGCCGUCCAGCAAGAGAUAAUUGGUUUAGCUUUGAGUGAUAUAUUGCCGGACUGUUUCAGAACCGCUUGGAUCGCUCCACCGUGUAUCUAAAGCAUAUUCCAAGUUCCCUGGGACGUCGGUCACAACAAGCCUACGUCACGGAGGAUUCUGCACAACCGUCGCUAAACGCCGCGUAGUUCACGGAGUCAACACAUUGCCACAAUCUCCACCUCUCCCAUACUGGCCACCAUGAAAAACGAAGAAGAGAUAAACGUUGUCUGUAGCAUUACCACCGGGUGUCGAGUGAUGGCUGAGAUUCUGUCGAUCUCUGGCGGCAGCUUCUUCCCUCGCAGUGCCCCCGGCGGGUUCUGUACGACGAUAUAGCUGUCAAUCAUUCUAUAAUUAAGCGAUUUCACGCCA